rnacentral:rRNA from 1 species
GAUGAACGCUGGCGGCGUGCUUAAUACAUGCAAGUCGAGCGAACAGACGAGGCGUUUGCUCCUUUGACGUUAGCGGCGGACGGGUGAGUAACACGUGGGUACCCUACCUAUAAGACUGGGAUAACUUCGGGAAACCGGAGCUAAUCCCGGAUAAUAUUUCGAACCGCAUGGUUCGAUAGUAAAAGUUGGCUUUGCUUUAUCUUAUCGAUGGACCUCCGCCGUAUUGGCUAGUUGGUACGGUAACGGCUUACCACGGCAACGAUACGUAGCCGACCUGAGAGGGUGAUCGGCCACACUGGAACGGAGACACGGUCCAGAGUCCUGCGGGAGGCAGCAGUAGGGAAUCGGCCGCAAUGGGCGAAAGCCUGACGGAGCAACGCCGCGUGAGUGAUGAAGGUCUUCGGAUCGUAAAACUCUGUUAUUAGGGAAGAACAAACGUGUAAGUAACUGUGCACGUCUUGAUGGUACCGAAUCAGAAAGCCACGGCUAACUACGUG